UGGGAUCGGCGAUUGGGACGAAGUCGUAACAAGGUAGCCGUACCGGAAGGUGCGGCUGGAUCACCUCCUUUCUAAGGAG
rnacentral:rRNA from 1 species